GGUCAAGUAAUGAAGCGCACAUGGUGGAUGCCUUGGCAGUCAGAGGCGAUGAAAGACGUGACAGCCUGCGAUAAGCUUCGGGGAGGCGGCAAUAUCCUGUGAUCCGGAGAUAUCUGAAUGGGGAAACCCACUUACCAUAAGGUAGGUAUCCUAAUUUAUUAGGAAGCGAACGAGGGGAAGUGAAACAUCUAAGUACCCUGAGGAAAAGAAAUCAACCGAGAUUCCCUUAGUAGUGGCGAGCGAACGGGGACCAGCCCUUGAGUUGAUUUGAGAGUAGCGGAACGCUCUGGAAAGUGCGGCCAUAGUGGGUGAUAGCCCUGUACGCGAAACCUUAGAAUCAAUCAAAUCGAGUAGGACGGGGCACGAGAAACCCUGUCUGAAUAUGGGGGGACCAUCCUCCAAGGCUAAAUACUCCUGACUGACCGAUAGUGAACCAGUACCGUGAGGGAAAGGCGAAAAGAACCCCGGAGAGGGGAGUGAAAUAGAACCUGAAACCGUAUGCGUACAAGCAGUGGGAGCCCACUUUGUUGGGUGACUGCGUACCUUUUGUAUAAUGGGUCAGCGACUUAUUUUCAGUGGCGAGCUUAACCGAAUAGGGGAGGCGUAGCGAAAGCGAGUCUUAAUAGGGCGUUUAGUCGCUGGGAAUAGACCCGAAACCGGGCGAUCUAUCCAUGAGCAGGUUGAAGGUUAGGUAACACUGACUGGAGGACCGAACCCACUUCCGUUGAAAAGGCAGGGGAUGACUUGUGGAUCGGAGUGAAAGGCUAAUCAAGCUCGGAGAUAGCUGGUUCUCCUCGAAAGCUAUUUAGGUAGCGCCUCAUGUAUCACUCUGGGGGGUAGAGCACUGUUUCGGCUAGGGGGUCAUCCCGACUUACCAAACCGAUGCAAACUCCGAAUACCCAGAAGUGCCGAGCAUGGGAGACACACGGCGGGUGCUAACGUCCGUCGUGAAAAGGGAAACAACCCAGACCGUCAGCUAAGGUCCCAAAGUCCUGGUUAAGUGGUAAACGAUGUGGGAAGGCUUAGACAGCUAGGAGGUUGGCUUAGAAGCAGCCACCCUUUAAAGAAAGCGUAAUAGCUCACUAGUCGAGUCGGCCUGCGCGGAAGAUGUAACGGGGCUCAAACCAGGCACCGAAGCUACGGGUAUCACCUUUGGUGAUGCGGUAGAGGAGCGUUCUGUAAGCCUGUGAAGGUGAGUUGAGAAGCUUGCUGGAGGUAUCAGAAGUGCGAAUGCUGACAUGAGUAACGACAAUGCGAGUGAAAAACUCGCACGCCGAAAGACCAAGGGUUCCUGCGCAACGUUAAUCGACGCAGGGUGAGUCGGUCCCUAAGGCGAGGCUGAAAGGCGUAGUCGAUGGGAAACGGGUUAAUAUUCCCGUACUUCUAGUUACUGCGAUGGGGGGACGGAGAAGGCUAGGCCAGCUUGGCGUUGGUUGUCCAAGUUUAAGGUGGUAGGCUGACUGUUUAGGUAAAUCCGGACAGUUAAGGCCGAGAGCUGAUGACGAUCCCUUCUUUUAGAAGGAGAAGUGGUUGAUGCCAUGCUUCCAGGAAAAGCCUCUAAGCUUCAGGUAACUAGGAACCGUACCCUAAACCGACACAGGUGGUCGGGUAGAGAAUACCAAGGCGCUUGAGAGAACUCUGCUGAAGGAACUAGGCAAAAUGGCACCGUAACUUCGGGAGAAGGUGCGCCGGUGAGGGUGAAGGGUUUACCCCGUAAGCUCAUGCCGGUCGAAGAUACCAGGCCGCUGCGACUGUUUAUCAAAAACACAGGGCUAUGCUAAAUUGAAAGAUGACGUAUAUGGCCUGACACCUGCCCGGUGCUGGAAGGUUAAGUGGAGGGUUUAGCUUCGGCGAAGAUCUAAAAUGAAGCCCCAGUAAACGGCGGCCGUAACUAUAACGGUCCUAAGGUAGCGAAAUUCCUUGUCGGGUAAGUUCCGACCUGCACGAAUGGUGCAACGAUCUGGACACUGUCUCAGCCAUGAGCUCGGUGAAAUUGUAGUAUCGGUGAAGAUGCCGAUUACCCGCUGUGGGACGAAAAGACCCCGUGCACCUUUACUAUAGCUUAGUAUUGGUUUUGGAUAAGUAAUGUGUAGGAUAGGUGGGAGACUUUGAAGCGGCGUCGCUAGGCGUUGUGGAGUCAUUGUUGAAAUACCACCCUUUGCUUGUCUAGAGUCUAACCUUCAAUGAAGGGACAGUGCUUGGUGGGUAGUUUGACUGGGGUGGUCGCCUCCAAAAGAGUAACGGAGGCUUCUAAAGGUUCCCUCAGCACGCUUGGUAACCGUGCGUAGAGUGCAAUGGCAUAAGGGAGCUUGACUGAGAGACCUACAAGUCGAUCAGGUACGAAAGUAGAGCAUAGUGAUCCGGUGGUUCCGUAUGGAAGGGCCAUCGCUCAAAGGAUAAAAGGUACGCCGGGGAUAACAGGCUGAUCUCCCCCAAGAGCUCAUAUCGACGGGGGGGUUUGGCACCUCGAUGUCGGCUCGUCACAUCCUGGGGCUGGAGAAGGUCCCAAGGGUUGGGCUGUUCGCCCAUUAAAGUGGCACGCGAGCUGGGUUCAGAACGUCGUGAGACAGUUCGGUCUCUAUCUACAGUGGGCGUUAGAAAUUUGAGUGGAUCUGACUCUAGUACGAGAGGACCGAGUUGGACUAACCUCUGGUGUAUCUGUUGUUCCGCCAGGAGCAUUGCAGAGUAGCUACGUUGGGAAGGGAUAAGCGCUGAAAGCAUAUAAGCGCGAAACCCACCACAAGAUGAGAUUUCUUUAAAGAGCCGUUCAAGACUAGGACGUUGAUAGGCAGGGUGUGGAAGCGCAGCGAUGCGUGUAGCUAACCUGUACUAAUUGCUCGUUUGGCUUGACCAU
rnacentral:rRNA from 1 species